UGGGGAAUCUUCCGCAAUGGGCGAAAGCCUGACGGAGCAAUACCACGUGAGGGAAGAAGGCCCGUGGGUUGUAAACCUCUUUUCUUAGGGAAGAAAAAUGCCUGUACCUAAGGAAUAAGCAUCGGCUAACUCCGUGCCAGCAGCCGCGGUAAUACGGAGGAUGCAAGCGUUAUUCGGAAUUACUGGGCGUAAAGAGUCUGUAGGUGGUUUAAUAAGUCUGCUGUCAAAGUCUAGGGCUUAACCCUAGUAAGGCAGUAGAAACUGUUAGACUAGAGUAUGGUAGAGGCAGAGGGAAUUCCCAGUGUAGCGGUGAAAUGCGUAGAUAUUGGGAAGAACACCAGUGGCGAAAGCGCUCUGCUGGGCCAUGACUGACACUGAGAGACGAAAGCGAGGGGAGCAAAUGGGAUUAGAUACCCGUGUAGUCC
rnacentral:rRNA from 1 species